AGAGUUUGAUCCUGGCUCAGGACGAACGCUGGCGGCGUGCUUAACACAUGCAAGUCGAGCGGUAAGGCCCUUUCGGGGGUACACGAGCGGCGAACGGGUGAGUAACACGUGGGUGACCUGCCCUCAGCUCUGGGAUAAGCCUGGGAAACCGGGUCUAAUACCGGAUAUGACUCCAUGACGCAUGUUGUGGGGUGGAAAGCCUUGUGCGGCUGGGGAUGGGCCCGCGGCCUAUCAGCUUGUUGGUGGGGUGAUGGCCUACCAAGGCGACGACGGGUAGCCGGCCUGAGAGGGCGACCGGCCACACUGGGACUGAGACACGGCCCAGACUCCUACGGGAGGCAGCAGUGGGGAAUCUUGCGCAAUGGGCGAAAGCCUGACGCAGCGACGCCGCGUGAGGGAUGACGGCCUUCGGGUUGUAAACCUCUUUCAGCUCCGACGAAGCGAAAGUGACGGUAGGAGCAGAAGAAGCACCGGCCAACUACGUGCCAGCAGCCGCGGUAAUACGUAGGGUGCAAGCGUUGUCCGGAAUUAUUGGGCGUAAAGAGCUCGUAGGCGGUCUGUCGCGUCGGCUGUGAAAACUUGGGGCUCAACUCCGAGCUUGCAGUCGAUACGGGCAGGCUAGAGUUCGGCAGGGGAGACUGGAAUUCCUGGUGUAGCGGUGAAAUGCGCAGAUAUCAGAGGAACACCGGUGGCGAAGGCGGGUCUCUGGGCCGAUACUGACGCUGAGGAGCGAAAGCGUGGGGAGCGAACAGGAUUAGAUACCCUGGUAGUCCACGCCGUAACGUUGGGCGCUAGGUGUGGGAUCCCUUCCACGGGUUCCGUGCCGCAGCUAACGCAUUAAGCGCCCGCCUGGGGAGUACGCCGCAAGGCUAAACUCAAGGAUUGACGGGGCCCGCACAGCGGCGGAGCAUGUGGAUUAU
rnacentral:rRNA from 1 species